rnacentral:rRNA from 1 species
UACGUAGGGGGCUAGCGUUGUCCGGAUUUAUUGGGCGUAAAGAGCGUGUAGGCGGCCAGGUAGGUCUGCUGUGAAAACUCGAGGCUCAACCUCGAGACGUCGGCGGAAACCAUCUGGCUAGAGUCCGGAAGAGGAGAGUGGAAUUCCUGGUGUAGCGGUGAAAUGCGUAGAUAUCGAGAGGAACACCUGCGGCGAAGGCGGGUAGCUGGGCCGACACUGACGCUGAGGCGCGAAAGCCAGGGGAGCGAACGGG